ACGGAAGGCAGCAGUGGGGAAUAUUGGACAAUGGGGGGAAACCCUGAUCCAGCGACGCCGCGUGAGUGAAGAAGUAUUUCGGUAUGUAAGGCUCUAUCAGCAAGGAAGAAAAUGACGGUACUUGACUAAGAAGCUCCGGCUAAAUACGUGCCAGCAGCCGCGGUAAUACGUAUGGAGCAAGCGUUAUCCGGAUUUACUGGGUGUAAAGGGAGCGUAGACGGCAAAGCAAGUCCGAAGUGAAAUCCCGGGGCUCAACCCCGGAACUGCUUUGGAAACUGUUUAGCUAGAGUGCAGGAGAGGUAAGCGGAAUUCCUAGUGUAGCGGUGAAAUGCGUAGAUAUUAGGAGGAACACCAGUGGCGAAGGCGGCUUACUGGACUGUAACUGACGCUGAGGCGCGAAAGCGUGGGUAGCAAACAGGAUUAGAUACCCUGGUA
rnacentral:rRNA from 1 species